rnacentral:lncRNA from 1 species
AAGUUUGUUGCUGUAUCUUUCUACUAACCAGUUCAAUUUUUUUAAUCUCUCAGUAGCAGGAGAGGAUUACAUUUGAUUUUAGCAGAGUACAGUGUGAAAACUGAGCGAAGAAGCUAUUUCUAGAAGGUAAGUUGAGAAUGACAAAUUCUUUCACAUUUGAUUACAGACAAAGUAUUUUUCCUCCUUCAUUAAGCUUUUUGCCCUAUAUCCUCAGUAGGAAACGCUGCUUCCAGUGAACCUUUCUUCUUUCUUCUCCUUCAUCUCACAUUUCGAACAUUUCUCCAGCUCUUGUGAGGCUCGGAUGCCAACCUGAUGGCUUUCCCAGAAGGGUACUUUUGAAAAAUGCAGUAAUUUCAGAAUACACAUAAGCAGUUCUCUGUACUUUAAGUGUCUUCUCUUAAAUGAUUAAGUAUUUGAUAUCAACCCUCCCUUCAUAUUUUCUGUUUUCUAGAAAGCAGCAUGUGUAACAGCAAUAAGAGUAAGAAUCAGUCUUGCCCUUCUAACUCCAACUCCAUCUGCUGAUCACUCAUAUGAGAGUUCUAACAUCAGAGCUGCUUCCGAGCAUUGUUGAAGAUGUGGAACAGUAAAAUCUUUUUUGUCAAGCCUCCAAGACCAAAUAGCACCAGAGAUGAAAUUUUGAAUAUUGGGUGCUGGAGACAAGUCAUCAGGGUGAAUGAAGGCAGACUGAGAGUGAGCUUAACUAUGGAUCUAUCCCACUGGACUUCUCUUGACUACUGAAAAUGAUCGACAUGGAAUCAAGUAUUAGAAAGCAAAGGCAUUGAGAGAAGAAAAUUGAAAUAUGCACCUAAAGCACCAGUGUGGGGAUGCCUGAGAAAGGGGAGCAGAAACAGCUCUGGAUGUAAAGAUGCAAACUGCACUGUUUACUGAUGGAGUUCUAGUGUAUCCAGAAAGGGGAAACAAUGAGGUGAAAAUCUGCUACUGACUCUGUUCUUUCAAAUACUUUCAUUCAAAGCAGUCUUAGAAAACAGCAAGGUGUGUGACAGGCAGGAAAACGAUGUGCAAUCCAUGGUCAGCCAAGAGAAAGCAGUAAGUGCCACAGACUGUUGUGCCCACCCCCAGGAAAUGAAUGAAGAACUGCAUGGAUUUUGUUUUAAAUGGAGCUGAACAGUAAUCCCAGGAGAUUUAAGAGCUGACAUCAUGCAGUGGAUACAUAUUUCACACCUGGGGAUAGAGACAUGCCUGAGAUGAGCCAGGAAAUGUAUCUGCAGGCCAGGCAUGAAUACCCAGUUGAAAGCAUACAUGGAACAGUGCAAGCUGUGCAAAGAAUACAGUGAUUGACAAGAAAUAUCUCAUGGAAUUCAGACCUAGGAAAAUGUCGGAACAAACCUGUUGAUUUCUAAUGAAAGAAACUUUAUGGGACAGUAGAUUAAUAACCACUAAUAACAGCCAUAUAAUAAUAACUUUUGA